rnacentral:lncRNA from 1 species
CGGGCACCUUUUACCUUAUGCAUCCGGUAGCUAGGGGUCAUAUUCUACUCAUCAUGUGGAACUGGCCCCAGCUGUCCAAACCUUUGUGACCUCACAUUAGACAACUGAAAUCUAAUCCACUUGAAAGUACCCUGAAGACCACCCAGGUGUUUCAUAUGGCUGCUGUCUUCCUACUAAAUAGGUCCAUUACACAAGCUGGAGCACAUUUUACCAGCAGACUAAUUCACCCAGUGGCAUAGCAAGGCAAUGAUCCACGGACCAUUAUUGACUUUUCUGUGUAACUCCUGGCAUUGUGUAACAUGCAUCAAAAUUCAAAGGCUGCAGGUACUAAAGUACAAGCUGAAAAAAGCUUACAUGAAUAAGAUAAGGACACUACACUGGAUGAGCUCCCAGCCCACAGGACAGAAGACUCACAGGACCAGACACAGCAUAAUAAUGAGAAGCGAGCACAGGCACGUUUGUGAACAUUUUUAAGGCUAAAUGUCAAAACGCUUGGCAGAAGCUAGGACGGGGCUAGUAUUCUGGCAGCGGAAGUGAAGCUUCAAUCAAAGAGGCAGAAAUAGACAUAAAAUAAAUCAGACUUUGGCACGAUCCUGCCUCAGGUUCCCAUCUUUCACAAUUUCCAUUAAAAUAAAAUCAACUCUUGUCAUCUCGUACAACCUACAAGACUCCAGAUGACAUGGCUUUUUCUUUCACCUGACUCCCCUUCCCAUUGCUCGCUACACACCAGUCAUGUGGUCCUUUUCUCUCUGGAUCUUCCCUGAUACACCCAAAGUGCCUUAGAACCUUUGAACUAUCCCUCUGUUCUGAAGACUCCUCUGCCUUUCCCUCUCCUCUAAAAGCAGUCCUCUCAGAGUUCCUUUAACUUGUUUAAUUUUCUUUGCUCCUGUGACACUAUCAUUUAUGUACAAAUAGUGACUGAGCCAGGAUGGAAGCUUCCUGAGAGCAGAGACAUGCAUAGCUUUUUACCGCUGUAUGCCCAGACUCUAGAACACCGUGUGCACUGCAUAGAUGUCUGUUCAAUGAAGAACUAAUCUAGAGAGUUGGGACAGAUGUAAGUUGAGAAAACAAGCAGGAAUACAGGUGAGCAGGAACCAAGAAUGUUAUUCCGUCUCUAAGUCAUUUCCCACUCUGCGACUCCCCGGACUACAGCACUCCAGGCUUCUAUUGUUCUUCGUUAUUUCCCAGAGUUUGCUCAAACUCCUGUCCAUUGAAUUGGUGAUGCUUUCGAUUCUCUGUUGCCCUCUUCUCCUCCGUCCCUAAAUCUUUCCCAGCAUCAGGGUCUUUUCCAAUGAGUUGGCUCUUCCCAUCAAGUGGCAAAAGGAUUGGAGCUUCAGCAUCAGUCUUUCCAAUUAAUAUUCAGAAUUGAUUUCCUUAGGAUUGACUGGUUUGAUCUCCUUGCAGUCCAAGGGACUCUCAAGAGUCUUCUCCAGCACCACAGUUCACAAGCAUCAAUUCUUCAGAGCUCAGCCUUCUUUAUGGUCCAACUUUCAAUCUGAUAUUCAUGACUACUGGAAAAACACACGGCUUUGACUAUAUGGACCUCUGUCAGCAAAGUGAUCUCUCUGGUUUUUAAUAUGUUGUCUAGGUUUGUCACAGUUUUUCUUGCAAGCAGCAAACAUGGCUGUAAUCAGUCUCUGCAGUGAUUUUGGAGCCCAAGAAAAUAAAAUCUGCCACUGUUCAGAUUUUUUUCUUCACUUAUUUGCCAUUAAGUGAUGUGACCAGAUGCCGU